GUGUCAGCCGCCGCGGUAAUACGUAGGGUGCAAGCGUUAAUCGGAAUUACUGGGCGUAAAGCGUGCGCAGGCGGUUAUGUAGGACAGAGGUGAAAUCCCCGGGCUCAACCUGGGAACUGCCUUUGUGACUGCAUAGCUAGAGUACGGUAGAGGGGGAUGGAAUUCCGCGUGUAGCAGUGAAAUGCGUAGAUAUGCGGAGGAACACCGAUGGCGAAGGCAAUCCCCUGGACCUGUACUGACGCUCAUGCACGAAAGCGUGGGGAGCAAACAGGAUUAGAUACCCGCGUAGUCC
rnacentral:rRNA from 1 species